rnacentral:rRNA from 1 species
AGUGAACGCUGGCGGUAGGCCUAACACAUGCAAGUCGAACGGCAGCACAGUAAGAGCUUGCUCUUACGGGUGGCGAGUGGCGGACGGGUGAGGAAUACAUCGGAAUCUACUUUUUCGUGGGGGAUAACGUAGGGAAACUUACGCUAAUACCGCAUACGACCUACGGGUGAAAGCAGGGGAUCUUCGGACCUUGCGCGAUUGAAUGAGCCGAUGUCGGAUUAGCUAGUUGGCGGGGUAAAGGCCCACCAAGGCGACGAUCCGUAGCUGGUCUGAGAGGAUGAUCAGCCACACUGGAACUGAGACACGGUCCCGACUCCUACGGGAGGCAGCAGUGGGGAAUAUUGGACAAUGGGCGCAAGCCUGAUCCAGCCAUACCGCGUGGGUGAAGAAGGCCUUCUGGUUGUAAAGCCCUUUUGUUGGGAAAGAAAAGCAGCAGGUUAAUACCCCGCUGUUCUGACGGUACCCAAAGAAUAAGCACCGGCUAACUUCGUG